GUCGUGCGAUCCACAGAGCCAAGAAAGGGCUCUCAAAAGUUCAACCCUAACUCACAAAAUUGAUCAAAUUGAGAAGGCAAUUCAAGUUCAAAUCAAAAACCAAGAUCAAUCUAGUGAUCACUCAAGUGAGGGGAUCACAAGGCAAGGAAUCGAGUCUUCAAGCGGACAAGCCGGAGCGGACACACGCUUGAAGGGAGCGCUUUAAAGGUGAUAUUGGAGACAUUCCGGAUGGCGAUCAAGCAUGUUUGAGGAACCGAACACGAACUUUUGAAGCUUCCGCAAUUAUCUAGUUUUGUUUUGGAAAAAGUGGAAUAUCUAGACUUUUCAAACUAUGUUUUAGAAUGUUGUGAACAUGUGUAAACACUCAAGAAGUAAAAGUUUUUGAU